UACGUAGGGUGCAAGCGUUAAUCGGAAUUACUGGGCGUAAAGCGUGCGCAGGCGGUUGUGCAAGACCGAUGUGAAAUCCCCGGGCUCAACCUGGGAAUUGCGAUGGAGACUGCAAGGCUAGAAUCUGGCAGAGGGGGGUAGAAUUCCACGUGUAGCAGUGAAAUGCGUAGAGAUGUGGAGGAACACCGAUGGCGCAAGGCA
rnacentral:rRNA from 1 species